rnacentral:rRNA from 1 species
CCUACGGGUGGCAGCAGUGGGGAAUAUUGGACAAUGGGGGGAACCCUGAUCCAGCCAUGCCGCGUGUGUGAAGAAGGCCCUCGGGUUGUAAAGCACUUUCAGUGAGGAAGAACGCCUGGUGGUUAAUACCCAUCAGGAAAGACAUCACUCACAGAAGAAGCACCGGCUAACUCCGUGCCAGCAGCCGCGGUAAUACGGAGGGUGCGAGCGUUAAUCGGAAUUACUGGGCGUAAAGCGCGCGUAGGUGGCUUGAUAAGCCGGUUGUGAAAGCCCCGGGCUCAACCUGGGAACGGCAUCCGGAACUGUCAAGCUAGAGUGCAGGAGAGGAAGGUAGAAUUCCCGGUGUAGCGGUGAAAUGCGUAGAGAUCGGGAGGAAUACCGGUGGCGAAGGCGGCCUUCUGGACUGACACUGACACUGAGGUGCGAAAGCGUGGGUAGCAAACAGGAUUAGAUACCCGAGUAGUC